rnacentral:tRNA from 1 species
UAUAUUUUAGUAUAUGAUGUAUAGAAGUUUUUGAUACUUCCGGAGGUAGUUUAAAUCUGCUAAAUAUAA